rnacentral:rRNA from 1 species
UGGUGGAGCGAUUUGUCUGGUUAAUUCCGAUAACGAACGAGACUCUGGCAUGCUAACUAGUUACGCGACCCCCGAGCGGUCGGCGUCCCCAACUUCUUAGAGGGACAAGUGGCGUUCAGCCACCCGAGAUUGAGCAAUAACA